GUUGCUUUGGAAAUGAGAAAGUAAGACUCGCUUAAUGAAGUUUAAAUUGUUUUGGGUCAACUUUUCACACAAAUUAUUAGUUAUACACUCAAUCGGACUCAUUUUCACUCGUGUCCCAAGUUUGGUAUUACUGAGCACUCUACAUAUUAGGGGGUAAAGACCUGUGAAGUUGCCCCCCCCAAAAAAACAUUUAGAUCAUGAAGCAAAAAUUCAAUGACAUUUUAAUAUCUUUGGAGAGCGAAUUUUAGCCUUUAACUCGACUUGUCUAAAAUUUCCUUUCUAAUCUUGUCGGACGACUCGCUCCUUCACUUCCUCUGGUCCAUCUUCAGUGUGGUACGCACCAUCAAAACGCUUCAGGGAUUUCCACACCUCCAUUAUGAACACACACACACAUGAUCAAAUAAGCAAAUUGUGCCUUUUUAUUGAUUUUUCAUAAAAAACAACAAAAACGUGGAAACAUUUCAAAGACGAUCACUUGGGAAGCAAAAAUGUUCCUCCAAGAUGACAGCGACCCCACAUCGUAUAACACGGGAUUGGCAUCAUCAUCAAAAUCAUCAUCAUCGUGGAGCAAUAGUAAAAUAGAGAAAAUAUUACAGAGAUGCUUGCGUGGGAGGGGCCGGGGGGGGGGGGGGGGAUAACAGAACAAAACAAAGAGCUCACCAUUUUGCUACCAAGAGGGAAGGGAAAAAAGGUCCAUUGCAAUAAAAGAGACUGUCAAGUGCUGGGGUAAAUAUAAUAUCUGCUUCAUUUGUCUGCAUGUCCAUCCACAAAAUAUAGGCCUCACUCUCGCAUGUUGCCUGAAAAAAAUAAAA